AUUGCCUUAGUAACGGCGAGUGAAGCGGCAAAAGCUCAAAUUUGAAAUCUGGUACCUUCGGUGCCCGAGUUGUAAUUUGGAGAGGGCAACUUUGGGGCCGUUCCUUGUCUAUGUUCCUUGGAACAGGACGUCAUAGAGGGUGAGAAUCCCGUGUGGCGAGGAGUGCGGUUCUUUGUAAAGUGCCUUCGAAGAGUCGAGUUGUUUGGGAAUGCAGCUCUAAGUGGGUGGUAAAUUCCAUCUAAAGCUAAAUAUUGGCGAGAGACCGAUAGCGAACAAGUACAGUGAUGGAAAGAUGAAAAGAACUUUGAAAAGAGAGUGAAAAAGUACGUGAAAUUGUUGAAAGGGAAGGGCAUUUGAUCAGACAUGGUGUUUUGUGCCCUCUGCUCCUUGUGGGUAGGGGAAUCUCGCAUUUCACUGGGCCAGCAUCAGUUUUGGUGGCAGGAUAAAUCCAUAGGAAUGUAGCUUGCCUCGGUAAGUAUUAUAGCCUGUGGGAAUACUGCCAGCUGGGACUGAGGACUGCGACGUAAGUCAAGGAUGCUGGCAUAAU
rnacentral:rRNA from 1 species